rnacentral:rRNA from 1 species
UACGUAGGGUGCAAGCGUUGUCCGGAAUUAUUGGGCGUAAAGAGCUCGUAGGCGGUCUGUCGCGUCGAAUGUGAAAGCCCGGGGCUCAACCCCGGGCCUGCAUUCGAUACGGGCAGACUAGAGUUCGGUAGGGGAGUCUGGAAUUCCUGGUGUAGCGGUGAAAUGCGCAGAUAUCAGGAGGAACACCGGUGGCGAAGGCGGGACUCUGGGCCGAUACUGACGCUGAGGAGCGAAAGCGUGGGGAGCGAACAGG